AUUUGAUACGGAGUCUCGCUCUGUCGCCCAUGCUGGGUGCAGUGGCACAAUCUCGGCUCACUGCAAGCUCCGCCUCCCGGGUUCACGCCAUUCUCCUGCCCCAGCCUCCCAAGUAGCUGGGACUACAGGCGCCUGCCACCACGCCCGGCUAAUUUUUUGUAUUUUUUGUAGAGACGGGGUUUCGCCAUGUUGUCCAGGCUGGUCUCAAACUCCUAACCUCAGGUGAUCCACCAACCUCGGCCUCCCAAAGUUCUGGUAUAACAGGCGUGAGCCAUCACAUCUGGCCUCACCUCUCCUUUUCAUUCAUUUGAUGAUACAUGUAUUCAAAAAUAUUUAUUGAGAAUUUACUACUAGGCACUGCAAUUUUGUGGUGAACAAGACAAAGUCUCUUUAUCUCAGAGCUUUCAGGCAUGCAGGGUUGUUGGGGAGACACAAUAAACAAGAAAACUAAUAAAUGGUGUAAUAUGGAAACGGUAGUACAUACUAAAAAGACAAUAAGAUAAGAUGGUUGGGUAUGGUGGCUCAUGCCUGUAACCCCAACCAAGGCAGGAGCUUUUUUGUUUUUGUUUUUGUUUUUGUUUUUGAGACAGAGUCUCACUCUGUCACCUGGGCUGCAGUGCAGUGGCGCAAUUUCUGCUCACUGCAACCUCCGCCUCCUGGGUUCAAGCAAUUCUCAUGCCUGAGCCUCCAGAGUGGCUGGGAUUAUAGGUGUGUACCACCUCGCUUGGCUAAUUUUUUUUUUUUUUUUUUGAGACGGAGUCUCGCUCUGUUGCCAGGCUGGAGUACAGUGGUGCAAUCUCGGCUCACUGCAACCUCCGCCUCCCGGGUUCAAGCCAUUCUCCUGUCUCAGCCUCCUAAGCUGGGACAAUAGACAUGCGCCACCAUGCCCAGCUCAUUUUUGUAUUUUUGGUAGAGAUGGGGUUUCACCAUGUUGGCCAGGAUGGUCUCAAUCUCUUGACCUCAAGUGAUCCACCUGCCUCGGCCUCCCAAAGUGCUGGGAUUACAGGCGUGAGCCACCGUGCCCGGCUAAUGUUUGUAGUGUUAAUAGAGACGAGGUUUCACCGUGUUGGCCAGGCUGGUCUCAAACUCCAGACCUCAGGUGAUCCACCUGCCUCAGCCUCCCAAAGUGCUGGGAUUACAGGCGUGAGCCACUGCGCCCGGCCGCUUUUGACUUCUUUUACGACACGGACCUUUCUGCAAUACAGAGACUGAAACUAAAGCAUAUGGUUGGAGAAGGAUUG
rnacentral:lncRNA from 1 species